rnacentral:rRNA from 1 species
CGUAGGAGGCAAGCGUUAUCCGGAUUCACUGGGCGUAAAGCGCGUGCAGGUGGCUCGGUAAGUUGGGCGUGAAAUCUCCCGGCUCAACUGGGAGAGGUCGUUCAAUACUACCGAGCUAGAGAGCAGAAGAGGAAGAUGGAAUUCCCGGUGUAGUGGUGAAAUGCGUAGAUAUCGGGAGGAACACCAGUGGCGAAGGCGAUCUUCUGGUCUGUUUCUGACACUCAGACGCGACAGCUAGGGUAGUAAACGGGAUUAGAGACCCCGGUAAUCCUAGCCGUAAACGAUGUGAACUUGGCGUUGGUGGGUUAAACUCCGUCAGUGCCGAAGCAAACGCGAUAAGUUCACCGCCUGGGGACUACGGCCGCAAGGUUA